rfam:Triticum aestivum genome assembly, contig: Triticum_aestivum_CS42_TGACv1_scaffold_641335_T_2BS-0.156230_6BS-0.136439
GGUCUAUUAGCUCAGUUGGUUAGAGCGUCGUGCUAAUAACGCGAAUGUUGCAGGUUCGAGACCUGCAUGGGCCA